GGGGCGAUUCAUAUCUCAACCGAAAUAUUUGUAAAGCGAUACGAACGAGUUACGAUAUGAAAUCCGCAAUGUUCAAAAACGCGAUUCAUAGCACACAUACUUUGAUCUCGUUUUCAUAUCGCUAGUUCGUAUUUGGAUGGCUUGAGUGAAAUGAAUGAAACUAUAUUUUUUUUAAUUGCCAUGCAAAAAUAAUAAAUACUACCACUAAUUGUUUUAAAUAAUUUUGUUCCUACAAUAUAUUUUGUUGGAAUUAGUGUCGAUAGUAAGUAUCAAGAAACGGCUUUUUAAUUCAACGUUGAAGAAAUUCAUAACCUGUGGCACUUUUGACAGCCGCCAUGUUUUCUCCAUAAAAACAUUGAUUUUCUUUGCUCAUUUUCGUGUCAACGUAGUUUUUUUGGAAAAUAAGAAGAAAGGAAGUUUAACUUACUUAGAAAAAUACGACUGAGACAUAAACACAAGCAGCAGCUGAUGUGCUUGAGUAGCAGAAGGAGCAACUGCGUUGUGAGAGGGCCACGGCUUCAGCCCUCACAAUGAUAGCUGAUUAGCUGAAGUAAUGAACAGACAGGCUGCAGUCAAUGAGAGGCUUCUUGAGGAGGGGUUCCUCAUAUGGAAAAAGAUUUUAGCGGCGACGCAGUUGCGCGACCAGUGAAGCUCUGGCUCCGCGACCGGCGUGGAGCGCGCGGUCCGCGCGGCGCUGCUGCGGCUGCUGCGCGGGAGGAUCCCGUCCCUGCGCAUGCGCCUGGCCUUCAAUGACCUCACGCCUCUCUUCUUCCUCUUCUUCAUGCGUCAAUUCAAACAGAGGAGCACCUGUGAUUACUGAUUACCUAAGUUCCUAUAUACAAUAA